GGGUAGUCCAAGGGUAGUGAGUUAUCACUUGAUUGUUCUCAAUCAGUUACAAAUUGAACUCCUUGUUCUAUGACUUUCCCCUCUUCUCACUACUGCACUUGACUAGUCUUGA
rnacentral:Y_RNA from 1 species